rnacentral:rRNA from 1 species
CUACCAAGGCAAUGACGCUUAGGGGAGGUGAGAGCCUGGCCCCCACCGAUGGUACUGAGACACGGACCAUACACCUACGGGUGGCUGCAGUCGAGAAUCUUCCGCAAUGGACGCAAGUCUGACGGAGCGACGCCGCGUGACUGAUGAAGUCUUUCGGGAUGUAAAGGUCUUUUAUGAAGGAGAAAGUUUUGAUAGUACUUCAUGAAUAAGGGGUUGCUAAACUCGUGCCAGCAGCAGCGGUAAUACGAGUACCCCAAGCGUUAUCCGGAAUUAUUGGGCGUAAAGGGUAUGUAGGUUGUUAUGUUAGUCUUUUGUCAAAGCCUUCGGCUCAACCGGAGAAUUGCGGGAGAAACGGCAUAACUAGAGGGCGCGAGAGGUUUGCGGAACUCAUGGUGUAGGGGUGAAAUCCGUUGAUAUCAUGGGGAACACCAAAAGCGAAGGCAGCAAACUGGCGCGUUUCUGACGCUGAGAUACGAAAGCGUAGGUAGCGAAUGGGAUUAGAUACCCCAGUAGUCUACGCCCUAAACGAUGAUAUCUAGCUUUUCGGAGUAUCGACCCUCUGAGAGGCACAGCUAACGCGUUAAGAUAUCCGCCUGGGAAGUACGACCGCAAGGUUAAAACUCAAAGGAAUUGACGG